rnacentral:rRNA from 1 species
GACGAACGCUGGCGGCGUGCUUCACACAUGCAAGUCGAACGGAAAGGCCCUGCUCUUGUGGGGUGCUCGAGUGGCGAACGGGUGAGUAACACGUGAGUAACCUGCCCUUGACUUUGGGAUAACUUCAGGAAACUGGGGCUAAUACCGGAUAGGAGCUCCUGCUGCAUGGUGGGGGUUGGAAAGUUUCGGCGGUUGGGGAUGGACUCGCGGCUUAUCAGCUUGUUGGUGGGGUAGUGGCUUACCAAGGCUUUGACGGGUAGCCGACCUGAGAGGGUGACCGGCCACAUUGGGACGGAGAUACGGCCCAGACUGCUACGGGAGGCAGCAGUGGUGAAUAUUGCACAAUGGGCGGAAGCCUGAUGCAGCAACACCGCGUGCGUGAUGACGGCCUUCGGGAUGUAAACCGCUUUCGCCUGUGACGAAGCGUGAGUGACGGUAAUGGGUAAAGAAGCACCGGCUAACUACGUG